UUUUUUUUUUUUUUUUUUUAUGAAAUUAAAGCUAGACGUAGCACUAAGCUACUUCUGAUGCAAAGAAUGAAUCGUCAACACUGUGCUGGGCAAGGGCAGGCACACUUGAGAAGACACGUGUGCCAGUGUCAAGUUGUUUGUCAAACACUGCUUUCACUUUAGUGACUGGAUCUUAAUGGUAACCUGAAAUGGUAUUAAAUAUUUCUACCUUAUAAAUCCUGAUUUUCAAUGAGCAGGAGAGUUCUGUUUAGUUAUUUGUUGUUAAAUGAUAAAGAUUUGGGAUUUUUCUUUUAAACCUUGUACGGCUGGAGAGCUUGUUUUGAAAACAUGAAGUUUAUAAUGAAUGUUGCUUCAGUUAAAAAAUGUGUGGGUAUACGUACAUUAUUGAUUGCAUAAUCAGAAUCUUGAAGCAAAAAUUAAGUGUGUUACUAAUACACUCAAUUCUCAUACGUCUAAUAUUUAUUAUACUGUACCUGAAUUUGUUGAAAACAAUGCAGAAAUAUUCUGAUGCAGUGCAGUGAGAGAAUUGCUUUCUUAACCUGUAGCAUAGAAUUAUUUGGUGAUUGAAAGUGUUGUGAUUAGGGAUUUACCACCUCAGUUUUCUGGAAAGACAUUCUCUAUUUAAAAGUAAUAAUUACCUGCCACUUAGCAGGAAGAAAGGUGAGAUUACAACCUGCAACCUGAAAAGCACUCAAAGUUGUUAGUCUUAACAUGAGCAGUAACCUUGCCAAAUAUGUACAUAUAUUUAUAUAUUUUAAAAAUAAACAUUUUUAAAAUGUUCAGAGGGCAACACCUACCUUGCUCCUCUCAGUGAUCCAGAGCAGUGACUCAGGACUUUACAGAGCAGUGGAAACUUAGAGAUUGAGGACUCAAGCAACUGAAGAGAAUUAUUCCCCAGCAGGAAAAAUGGCUCCCUGUGGAUUUUACUCAUUGUGGUGCACGUUUCGAGUUUUCUUGCAAAUUUUAGAACUUUUGAUGUUAAGUAGUAUUUUGAAGUAUUGGUUCUGAAGCUAGCAGAAGAUGGAGUGUUGAGAAGCAUACAGUAUUAUCUAUCCUAUUACCACAGAGGGCUGUGGAUCUGCCCUGCUGCUCAGCAGCUGGGGUCUCCUUGCUGGAAAGAAGUAAAGUAUAUGUUAGAUGUUUAAGGCUUUGAUAAUUAUAGUCAUAUAUCUGUUGUGAAACUCAUAGGAAGUUGGAAGUGCAUGUGUGCUUGCUGUGCCCUGCAGCUCUGAGGUGAUGGCUAAAGCAGGUGUGCAGCGCAAACUCAGUCCCUGCUGCUCUACCACGUGGAGGAUGGAACAUCCGGAAUUUAGAGGGAUAGUUUUAUCAUGACUGUUCAAUAGCUUGGUGUUGGCAAAUUUUCCUGUCCCAAUACCAGAAUGCCAAAGGAGGAAACAAUCAAGGGAAAAAUUUUAGGCCAUUUAAAAUGACAAAAAAGAUUUGUCAUUUUAAACCAUCAUUUUCUUUAGAACAUCUUUGAAAUUUCUAAUCGCUUUGGUCAUUUAAGAAUGAGAGCUGUGAUGUUUUGAUUUAUAAAGGCAAACUUAAUGCAAAGUGGGUAACACUAAAUCCAUAGCAAAGUUUUUUAUUAAAUUUUUAUAAAUUUUUUAAUAGUUAAUUAUGUCCUAAUUGUAUUUUGGGGAAUGAGCAGCAGUAAAUACCACAGACUUAACAGUUUCAUCCUUUUUUAAAAAUAUAUAUAUAAGAGUGUAACUACUUUUUGGUGUUUAUCAAAACUAUUUAGUUGACAAGGUGCCUAUACCAUUGUUGGGAUUUUCUUUAAAUGUUUUAUGAAUAGAUUUGAUAAUUUAUCUGAAGAUCCAGAACCACUGACAGCGCCCCUCUCUCUCCCUGCAGACUUCAUAGUCUUGCUAUCUGAGCAGGGCCAGACAUGCACAGGGAGGGAAGGAGAGGCCAGCUCCCACUCACACUGGGAGGCAUUGUUAAGUGAACGGUACCGCAGGCUCAGAUUUGAGCACUUCUGUCUACCUAAGGUGGCGCCAUCUGUAAAUGCUAACCUGUCACCAACUCACGGCCAGAGUAAGGAGACAGGGAACAGAUGCAUGCAGUGGAAAGGGGAGACUCCUGGACGCGCAGUUAGACAAAUGUGAGGCCGUCAUCAGUCUAAUAAUUUAUAAGGAUCCUCAAUCAAAUUCUGAAGUCUCCGACUUUCACAGUUCUUGGAAGGGAUCCCUGAGUUUACCAGCGUGCUCACUGAAAGCUCUCACUCUUUGUGCAGAAAUAUUAAAGUCUCCGAAAAGGUGAACUGUUAAUCAUUCUUAUUUUUUUUAACUCUUCAUUAAAUUGAAUAUGAUAUCAUUAGCUCUGCUCCAAGGGCAAAUUUUCAAGUUUAAUCUGGGUGAAAUAUUUGCUAGUUUACAGAAAGAUUUGCUAUCAUAUCAAUAGCUGGCUCUUCUGUUUUUGUGUGAAUGACUGGGAUGCUGACACAAGUUGUCCCAAGGUCACAGUUAUGAGAGAAACACUGUUGGAGAGCGUUCCUGUCAUCUGCACUAUGUGUGGUCUGGAGUUCCUAAGGUGUAGCCUCUCAUCGUGACCUGUACAGUUUUGAAUGUGCACCACUACAUACCCGGAUGGCACUGUACAGUUUCCCACGGUAGCAGUCUGUAUGCAGUAGGCUGAAAUAUUUUGAUGAACGCUUAAUUUUUGGAUUUUAUUUUUUAAGUUGUAUAAUUUAUUUUCUUGCAAAAUAAAAGUGUAAUAUAAA
rnacentral:lncRNA from 1 species